GACGAACGCUGGCGGCGUGCCUAAUGCAUGCAAGUUGAGCGAUGAAGAUUGGUGCUUGCACCAAUUUGAAGAGCAGCGAACGGGUGAGUAACGCGUGGGGAAUCUGCCUUUGAGCGGGGGACAACAUUUGGAAACGAAUGCUAAUACCGCAUAACAACUUUAAACAUAAGUUUUAAGUUUGAAAGAUGCAAUUGCACCACUCAAAGAUGAUCCCGCGUUGUAUUAGCUAGUUGGUGAGGUAAAGGCUCACCAAGGCGAUGAUACAUAGCCGACCUGAGAGGGUGAUCGGCCACAUUGGGACUGAGACACGGCCCAAACUCCUACGGGAGGCAGCAGUAGGGAAUCUUCGGCAAUAGACGAAAGUCUGACCGAGCAACGCCGCGUGGGUGAAGAAGGUUUUCGGAUCGUAAAACUCUGUUGGUAGAGAAGAACGUUGGUGAGAGUGGAAAGCUCAUCAAGUGACGGUAACUACCCAGAAAGGGACGGCUAACUACGUG
rnacentral:rRNA from 1 species